rnacentral:rRNA from 1 species
AGGGAACCUUCGGCAAUGGACGGAAGUCUGACCGAGCAACGCCGCGUGAGUGAAGAAGGUUUUCGGAUCGUAAAGCUCUGUUGUAAGAGAAGAACGAGUGUGAGAGUGGAAAGUUCACACUGUGACGGUAUCUUACCAGAAAGGGACGGCUAACUACGUGCCAGCAGCCGCGGUAAUACGUAGGUCCCGAGCGUUGUCCGGAUUUAUUGGGCGUAAAGCGAGCGCAGGCGGUUAGAUAAGUCUGAAGUUAAAGGCUGUGGCUUAACCAUAGUAGGCUUUGGAAACUGUUUAACUUGAGUGCAAGAGGGGAGAGUGGAAUUCCAUGUGUAGCGGUGAAAUGCGUAGAUAUAUGGAGGAACACCGGUGGCGAAAGCGGCUCUCUGGCUUGUAACUGACGCUGAGGCUCGAAAGCGUGGGGAGCAAACAGGAUUAGAUACCCUGGUAGUCCACGCCGUAAACGAUGAGUGCUAGGUGUUAGACCCUUUCCGGGGUUUAGUGCCGUAGCUAACGCAUUAAGCACUCCGCCUGGGGAGUACGACCGCAAGGUUG